rnacentral:lncRNA from 1 species
UGCAUUCUAAAAUCUUACAUCACUCACGCAUUUAUAUCAGUUAAUUAGUUAGCUCAUGGUACUCAUUCAGUCAGUUAUUAAUCAUGCACAUAACCCAUGCAUAACAACCUAACCUUAUCUAGCAGAACAGUACAUUCAAAGUCCUAAUCGCAUACUCAUUCUUGGGAUAUAAUGUCUUAUAUCACAGGUUUAGAUUCUCAGGUUCUCGAUAGCACUUAGACAUUCCAGCGCAUCAACA